rnacentral:rRNA from 1 species
AGGGAAUAUUGGACAAUGGGUGAGAGCCUGAUCCAGCCAUGCCGCGUGCAGGAAGAAGGCCUUCUGGGUUGUAAACUGCUUUUGCCAGGGGAUAAAAUUCGCAUGCGUGAGAAAUUGAAGGUACCUGGUGCAUAAGCCACGGCUAACUACGUUCCAGCAGCCGCGGUAAUACGUAGGUGGCAAGCGUUGUCCGGAUUUAUUGGGUUUAAAGGGUGCGUAGGCGGUCCUAUAAGUCAGUUGUGAAAUACGGCAGCUUAACUGUCGAGGUGCAAUUGAUACUGCAGGACUUGAGUACAGACGAGGUAGGCGGAAUUGACGGUGUAGCGGUGAAAUGCUUAGAUAUCGUCAAGAACACCGAUAGCGAAGGCAGCUUACUAGACUGUAACUGACGCUGAUGCACGAAAGUGUGGGGAUCAAA